rnacentral:misc_RNA from 1 species
GGCGAUGUUGGGGAGGUGGUGGACGGUGGGCACUCAAUAUCAAUGGUGGUUGAUAAUUCAUAAGAAGUUGGAGAUGAAUUCUGAUCAUUUGGUUUGGUGAUGAAAGAGUGAAAGGGGAUAAUUGUGCUAUUCGCGUUCCCAUCAUUCUCUUCCAUGGCCAUCAAUUAUGGAAAAGAAACACAGUAACAACGAUUAUUACAACUCUAGCAAACUAUUUUUAACUACUAA